rnacentral:rRNA from 1 species
AUUGAACGCUGGCGGCAGGCCUAACACAUGCAAGUCGAGCGGAUGAAGGGAGCUUGCUCCUGGAUUCAGCGGCGGACGGGUGAGUAAUGCCUAGGAAUCUGCCUGGUAUUUGGGGAUAACGUCCGGAAACGGGCGCUAAUACCGCAUACGUCCUGAGGGAGAAAGUGGGGGAUCUUCGGACCUCACGCGAUCAGAUGAGCCUAGGUCGGAUUAGCUAGUUGGUGGGGUAAAGGCCUACCAAGGCGACGAUCCGUAACUGGUCUGAGAGGAUGAUCAGUCACACUGGAACUGAGACACGGUCCAGACUCCUACGGGAGGCAGCAGUGGGGAAUAUUGGACAAAGGGCGAAAGCCUGAUCCAGCCAUGCCGCGUGUGUGAAGAAGGUCUUCGGAUUGUAAAGCACUUUAAGUUGGGAGGAAGGGCAGUAAGUUAAUAUCUUGCUGUUUUGACGUUACCAACAGAAUAAGCACCGGCUAACUUCGUG